GUACUGACGCUGAGGCUCGAAAGUGCGGGUAUCAAACAGGAUUAGAUACCCUGGUAGUCCGCACAGUAAACGAUGGAUACUCGUGGUUGGCGACAGACAGUCAGUCACCAAGCGAAAGCGAUAAGUAUCCCACCUGGGGAGUACGCCGGCAACGGUGAAACUCAAAGGAAUUGACGGGGGCCCGCACAAGCGGAGGAACAUGUGGUUUAAUUCGAUGAUACGCGAGGAACCUUACCCGGGCUUGAAUUGCGCUGGACGUGUCCAGAGACGGACAUUUCUUCGGACCAGCGUGAAGGUGCUGCAUGGUUGUCGUCAGCUCGUGCCGUGAGGUGUCGGCUUAAGUGCCAUAACGAGCGCAACCCUUCUCUUCGGUUGCCAUCAGGUGAUGCUGGGCACUCCGGAGACACUGCCAUCGCAAGAUGUGAGGAAGGUGGGGAUGACGUCAAAUCAGCACGGCCCUUACGUCCGGGGCUACACACGUGUUACAAUGGGAUAUACAGAAGGCAGCCACCCGGUGACGGGGCGCUAAUCCCCAAAGUAUCCCCCAGUUCGGACUGGAGUCUGCAACCCGACUCCACGAAGCUGGAUUCGCUAGUAAUCG
rnacentral:rRNA from 1 species